rnacentral:rRNA from 1 species
UACAUGGGGUGCAAACGUUGCUCGGAAUUAUUGGGCGUAAAGCGCACGUAGGCGGUUCGUUAAGUCGGAUGUGAAGCCCUCGGCUCAACUGAGGAAGUGCACCCGAAACUGGCGAGCUUGAGUACGAAAGAGGAUCGCGGAAUUCCCGGUGUAGAGGUGAAAUUCGUAGAUAUCGGGAGGAACACCGGUGGCGAAGGCGGCGAUCUGGUCGAUACUGACGCGUGAGGUGCGAAAGCGUGGGGAGCAACAGGAUUAAGAU